GGGGACGGCCGCUUCCCACUGGAGCCCCUGGACCCUGCGCCCUCUCGGCGUCGCCACCCUGCGAACCCCUGAGCCUCCGAGGUCAGGAUCCUGCUGGUGAAAGCGUCAGCCUUAGCACCCUGAGUUGAACAGAAGUGCGACAUCCUAACCCGCGGCCUGACCUCAUUGUGACCCUGGGUCUGUGGGCACAGCUGCGCAGUUGAGAGAAAGGUAUUGAGGCUUGAAGAUCCUGUAGAUGAAUUCGUGGUUCUCCAUGGCCAGAGUUAAUAAUUGUUGGGCACUUACCAAACUGCUUAAAUCCUGGAUUGAGACACUUCUAGUGACUACCUGAAUGGUGAGCCUUGCAGUGAAUACCAGCCUUUCUUCUUGUGGAACUUGCAGUUUUGGGGAGCAAAUCAAAGGCUAGUUGUUAGCCACAGGAAGCAGGAAAGAAGUUCUCAAGAAUAAUCUGGGAGACUCAAAACUUGUGGUGACUGGCAUUGGAGGAGACUCUUCUUAGCUUCCCUCAUGGCUUCCCCCACAACAACCACCCAUAACCACAACCCUCCCAAGUCCAUGGAGCACCCAUGAGGGCAGUUUCAAGGCCCAGAGAUCUACCUCUUGUGCCUGCCCACCCCUCUGGGCAGAGUUUGGUGACUCUUUGCUGAUCAGCACUGCUCCUGGUGCUGGCCCUCAAAUCAUAUCACUGCAGUCUGCUAAGGACAGGACUGAGCAUCCUUGUUUGUCAGAUGAGAGAUACCCCCCUGAAUAGGCAGCUGGUUUAUCACCAGCCAUGGCCUGAAACACAAGGUCAAGGCUUUGAUCCCAGGCAAUCAAACAAGGCCAUCCCCCUGGCUGCAGUUUAUGGACAAGCAGACAAGAGGGGGCAAGAGGGAGCACUCCCCCUCUAUUUGAGAACUUCUUAGUUUUGGCUUCACUAAAGAAGAUGUAGAAAUGGCUGAUAGGCAUCUGAGAAGAUGCCCAACCACAUGCACCAUAAGAGAAAUGCAAAGGAAAACAAUCCCGAGAUAUCUCUGCACACAAGUUAUGACAUUUAACAUGAAAAUGACAGAACUUAUAAAGUGCUAACAAGGAUAGGGAGGAACAGGAGCUCUCAGCACUGCUGGUGGGAAUGAAAAAUGGUGCAAACAUUUUGGAAGACAGCCUCACAGCUUCUUAAAAAGUAGGUAUACACCUACCAUGGAAUCUGGACAUUCCACUCCUUCCUCCUUACUUCAGAGACAUGAAAGUACAUAUUUGCACAAAGACUAGAAGGCAGGUGUACACAGUUAUUUUAUCUGUAGUAGUGUCAAAGUGGAAACAAUUCAAAUGUCCAUUAACAGGUGAACAGUUGACCAAGUCGUGGUCUAUCCAAAACAUGGACCACAACUCAGCAACACAAGCAAAUGAUGUGCAAUCAGUAAAUGCAAAUCUCAAAAUUACCAUGUUGAGGGAAAGAAACCAGACCAAAAGGGAGCUUGUAUCAAUUAUUCCAUUUAUAUAAAGUUCUAGAAAAUGCAAACUAAACUAUGUAUACAGAAAGCCAAGCAAUAAUUGCUUGGAGAUUGGAGGUGAGCUUGGAUAUACAGGUACACAGAGGACUGGGGGACUUUGGGCUGACAGGUUUGUCCAAUUUCCCAACUGUGGUAUUGGAUUCACAUUGUUAAACAUAUGUCAGACUUAGAAAAUUGUACACUUCAAAUAUGUGCAGUUUACUGAGUGUCAAUCAUAUCUCAAUAAAGCUCUUUAAAAAUAAAUCAACCACAAGAAAUUCUUAAUUUCAUGGAGGAGAUAUGGCAUCAAUAUGAAGAAACUGCAAGUAACUAGAACCAAGGCAUGGAAAUGACAUCCCAUGACCCCUCUUUCACAAGCUCAAGUUUCAAAAAUUCUGGGAGAAAGUGGUGGAGUCAAUGCUCUCACCAUCCAUGGCUGUUCCAGGUGUGAGGAUUAUGUGUACUUUUGCAUUCCAUCCUGGAAUCAGCAAAGUGCUUUUCAUAUUAAAGGGUUGAUAAAAUUCAACAGAGAAAGGCUUGGGGAACCCCUUUGAGCAAAAAAUAAAACCUGGCCUCCUGUUUCCUCUUUGAACUUCCUCUUGAGUUUCCUGUUUAUCUUUUUGGAAGUUUGAAAACCCCACCAAGGCAGUUGACCCAGAUAACAAACCAAGCCCCUAGGUCAUUACUUUGGGCCAUAAAAACCUUCCAUAAACAGUUUUUAAGAUGAACAGUCUUCCAAUCAAUAGGAGUCAAGCUAACUUCCUUUUUAUGUCUAUGAAAAUCAUUUGCAAGCCCUAGAUCUUUGAAGCUGCUUCUUUUUUUGUAAGCAAUGCAGUUUCCUAGAUGCAGCAAAUCUUUUGGUGUCCCAAAUA